AACUUUCAACAACGGAUCUCUUGGCUCUCGCAUCGAUNAAGAACGCAGCGAAAUGCGAUAAGUAAUGUGAAUUGCAGAUUUCAGUGAAUCAUCGAAUCUUUGAACGCACCUUGCGCUCCUUGGUAUUCCGAGGAGCAUGCCUGUUUGAGAGUCAUU
rnacentral:rRNA from 1 species